rnacentral:rRNA from 1 species
CCUACGGGAGGCUGCAGUGAGGAAUAUUGGUCAAUGGGCGCUAGCCUGAACCAGCCAAGUAGCGUGAAGGAUGACGGCCCUAUGGGUUGUAAACUCUUUUUAUAUGGGAAUAAAGUGCAGUAUGUAUACUGCUUUGCAUGUACCUUACGACUAAGGAUCGGCUAACUCCGUGCCAGCAGCCGCGGCAAUACGGAGGGUCCGAGCGUUAUCCGGAUGUAUUGGGUGUAAAGGGAGUGUAGGCGGGCUGAUAAGUCAGUUGUGAAAGUACGCGGCUCAACCGAAGAACUGCAGUUGAUACUGGCGUCCUUGAGUACGGGAGAGGUAGGCGGAAUGCGUGGUGUAGCGGUGAAAUGCUUAGAUAUCACGAGGAACUCCAGUUGCGAAGGCGGCCUGCUGGACUGUAACUGACGCUGAGGCUCGAAAGUGUGGGGAUCAAACAGGAUUAGAUACCCUAGUAGUC